rnacentral:rRNA from 1 species
AACGUAGGAGGCGAGCGUUAUCCGGAUUUACUGGGUGUAAAGCGCGUGCAGGCGGUCUUGAAAGUUGGAUGUGAAAGCUCCUGGCUUAACUGGGAGAGGUCGUUCAAUACUACAAGACUUGAGUAUGGGAGAGGGAGGCGGAAUUCCGGGUGUAGUGGUGAAAUGCGUAGAUAUCCGGAGGAACACCAGUGGCGAAAGCGGCCUCCUGGUCCAAAACUGACGCUCAGAUGCGAAAGCUAGGGGAG